CAGGGAUUGACAUGACGGUAGUAGUGAAGCGAAAGCGGAACGACCCUUCGGGGAGCCGUCACAGGUGAUGCAUGGCUGUCGUCAGCUCGUGCCGUGAGGUGUUUGGUUAAGUCCACUAACGAGCGCAACCCUCGCUGUUAGUUGCCACCAUUUAGUUGGGCACUCUAACAGGACUGCCGGAGUUAAUCCGGAGGAAGGCGGGGAUGACGUCAAGUCCUCAUGGCCCUUACAAGGUGGGCUACACACGUGCUACAAUGGCGACUACAGAGGGCUGCAACCCAGCGAUGGUGAGCCAAUCCCAAAAAGUCGUCUCAGUUCGGAUUGUUCUCUGCAACUCGAGAGCAUGAAGUCGGAAUCGCUAGUAAUCGCGGAUCAGCAUGCCGCGGUGAAUACGUUCCCG
rnacentral:rRNA from 1 species